rnacentral:rRNA from 1 species
UACGUAGGGUGCAAGCGUUGUCCGGAAUUAUUGGGCGUAAAGAGCUCGUAGGCGGUCUGUCGCGUCUGCUGUGAAAACUCAGGGCUUAACCCUGAGCUUGCAGUGGGUACGGGCAGACUAGAGUGCGGUAGGGGAGACUGGAAUUCCUGGUGUAGCGGUGAAAUGCGCAGAUAUCAGGAGGACCACCGGUGGCGAGGGCGGGUCUCUGGGCCGUAACUAGCGCUGAGGAGCGAAAGCAUGGGAGCGAACAGG